UCAUUCUUAUUUCCUGGCAGCCUUUUGU
rnacentral:piRNA from 1 species